rnacentral:rRNA from 1 species
AUUGAACGCUGGCGGCAUGCUUUACACAUGCAAGUCGAACGGCAGCGCGGGCUUCGGCCUGGCGGCGAGUGGCGAACGGGUGAGUAAUGCAUCGGAACGUGCCCAGUAGUGGGGGAUAGCCCGGCGAAAGCCGGAUUAAUACCGCAUACGACCUGAGGGUGAAAGCGGGGGACCGAAAGGCCUCGCGCUAUUUGAGCGGCCGAUGUCGGAUUAGCUAGUUGGUGGGGUAAAGGCUUACCAAGGCGACUAUCCGUAGCUGGUCUGAGAGUAAGACCAGCCACACUGGGACUGAGACACGGCCCAGACUCCUACGGGAGGCAGCAGUGGGGAAUGUUGGACAAUGGGGGCAACCCUGAUCCAGCCAUGCCGCGUGCGGGAAGAAGGCCUUCGGGUUGUAAACCGCUUUUGUUCGGGAAGAAAUCCUCUGGGCUAAUACCCCGGGGGGAUGACGGUACCGGAAGAAUAAGCACCGGCUAACUACGUG